rnacentral:rRNA from 1 species
ACGGUCCAGACUCCUACGGGAGGCAGCAGUGGGGAAUAUUGCACAAUGGGCGCAAGCCUGAUGCAGCCAUGCCGCGUGUGUGAAGAAGGCCUUCGGGUUGUAAAGCACUUUCAGUCGUGAGGAAGGUGGUAGUGUUAAUAGCACUAUCAUUUGACGUUAGCGACAGAAGAAGCACCGGCUAACUCCGUGCCAGCAGCCGCGGUAAUACGGAGGGUGCGAGCGUUAAUCGGAAU